rnacentral:rRNA from 1 species
GAUCAUGGCUCAGGAUGAACGCUGGCGGCGCGCCUAACACAUGCAAGUCGAACGAGACUGAUUAGAAUGAGGUUUCGGUUGAUUUCUAUGAAAGUCGAGUGGCGGACGGGUGAGUAACACGUGGGUAACCUGCCUUACAGAGGGGGAUAACAGUUUGAAAAGACUGCUAAUACCGCAUAAGCACACAGUACCGCAUGGUACGGGGUGAAAAGAUUUAUCGCUGUAAGAUGGACCCGCGU